CCCGAAUCAUGAUAACAUGAGGUGGGAUACUUGGGGAAGGUUUACAGAAAGAAGUGUUGCAUAUCAACCAUGGAUUUGGACUGCAGGGAACCAUGAAAUUGAUUUUGCUCCAGAAAUUGGUGAAACCGUACCUUUUCAAAUGGUGCCAAAUAGCAUUUUGCAUUUGGCAUUUGCACUCCUAUAAAAGAUCAAUCAGCCCCUGUUUAUAUCACCAUUGGUGAUGGAGGAAACCUUGAAGGCUUAGCAACCAAAAUUGCGGACUGCUAUAUUUUCUAAGGAUGCACUGCAAACAAUUAGAUUAGUAUCAAGGAAGGAAAGAAGAACUGUGGCCAACAUUGAACCAACUGCUUAGAGAUGAGGAUGAUACAACUGUCUCUACGCCUUAUACUACUG